rnacentral:rRNA from 1 species
AUUGAACGCUGGCGGCAGGCCUAACACAUGCAAGUCGAACGAGUGGCGGACGGGUGAGUAAUGUCUGGGAAACUGCCCGAUGGAGGGGGAUAACUACUGGAAACGGUAGCUAAUACCGAAUACCAUCGGGUGGGCCCAGAUGGGAUUAGCUAGUGGGUGGGGUAAUGGCUCACCUAGGCGACGAUCCCUAGCUGGUCUGAGAGGAUGACCAGCCACACUGGUACUGAGACCCGGUCCAGACUCCUCCGUGAGGCAGCAGUGGGGAAUAUUGCCCAUUGUGCGCAAGCCUGAUGCAGCCAUGCCGCGUGUAUGAAGCAGGCCUUCGGGUUGUAAAGUACUUUCAGCGGGGCGGCGUUACCCGCAGAAGAAGCACCGGCUAACUCCGUGCCAGCAGCCGCGGUAAUAC